CAUCAUUCCCACAAUUCGAUCAAAUAUCAUGGGUUUAACAUCAUUAUUUUCAUCAUUCCCACAUUUCGAUCAAAUUUCAUGGGUUUAUCCACAACAUUUUCAUCAUUCCCAUAAUUCAAUCAAAUUUCAUGUGUGUAACAUCAUCAUUUUCAUCAUUCUCACAAUUCAAUCAAAUUUCAUGGGUUUAACAUCAACAUUUUCAUCAUUCCAACAAUUCAAUCAAAUUUCAUGGGUUUAACAACAACAUUUUUAUUAUUCAUAUAAUUCAAUCCAAUUUCAUGGGUUUAACAUCAACAUUUCAUUCAUGGGUUUAACAACAACAUUUUUAUUAUUCAUAUAAUUCAAUCCAAUUUCAUGGGUUUAACAUCAACAUUUCAUCAUUUUCACAAUUCAAUCAAAUUUCAAAGGUUUAACAACAACGUUUUCAUGAUUCACACAAUCCAAUCAAAUUUCCUAGGUUUAACAACAACAUUUUCAUCAUGCACACAAUUCAAUUAGAUUUCACGGGUUUAACAACAACAUUUUCAUCAUUCACAAAAUUGAAUCACAUUUCGUGGGUUUAACAUCAACAUUUUCAUCAUUCCCACAAUUCAAUCAAAUUUCAUGUGUUUAACUUCACAUUUUCAUCAUUCCCACAAUUCAAUCAAAUUUUAUGGGUUCAACAAUAACAUUUUCAUUAUUCUCACAAUUCAAUUAAAUUUCAUGGGUUUAACAUCAACAUUUUAAUCAUUCCCACAACUCAAUCAAAUUUCAUGGGUUUAACAAAGACAUUUUCAUUAUUCACACAUUUCAAUCAAAUUUCAUGGGUUUAACAUCAACAUUUCAUCAUUUCCACCAUUCAAUCAAAUUUCAUAGGUUUAACAACGUUUUCAUCAUUCACACAAUCCAAUCAAAUUUCAUAGGUUUAACAACAACAUUAUCAUCAUGCACAUAACACAUUUAAAUUUCAUGGGUUGUGUAACACCCCGAUAAAAAGAUGAUAAUUAUUUAAUUUAAGUUAAUAGUAUAUUUAUUAAUUUAAUUAAAUAAUUGGAUUAUUAUUGGAAUUAUUAUUAUUGGAAUAUAAAGUUGGAAUAUAUAUAAAGGGUUCCAUUUGGUAAAAAGGGUUUUCACGUGAAAAGAGAGAAGCGACAGAAAAGUGGAAAAGGGCAAAGAGGAAGAGCAAGAGAACAAGGGUUGAAGAAGGGAAAAGCUUGAAGUAAAGGAUUUGCCGGACUAAUUCAGGUAAGGGGGGUUUAUCGUCGUUUAAUGGGUAUUAUGGGUUGACAUGUAAUGGGUAGUAAUAAGCCAUUGAAUUGACCCUAAUUGGAAUGAGGAAUGCUGUAAAUGGUGAUGAAUAAGUUAUGUUAAAACUGUAAUUGAAUCUAUAUGUGGGUGAGUCGUAAAUUUCUGGACGUGUAGCUUUUUACGGAAUUGAAAUCGGAGGUCCGGAAGUCCUCCGACGGCGAAAAAUGCGGGGGAUUCUGCAUUCUGUUCGUGUUAGCGCAGGAAUAGCUUUCUGUCUUGCGUUAANUUCAUGUGUGUAACAUCAUCAUUUUCAUCAUUCCCACAAUUCAAUAAAAUUUCAUGGGUUUAACAUCAACAUUUUUAUCAUUCCCAUAAUUCAAUCAAAUUUCAUGGGUUUAACAACAACAUUUUCAAUAAUCACACAAUUCAAUCCAAUUUCAUGGGUUUAACAUCAACAUUUCAUCAUUUUCACAAUUCUAUCAAAUUUCAUAGAUUUAACAACAAUGUUGUCAUCAUCCACACAAUUCAUUCAAAUUUCAUAGCUUUAACAACAACAUUUUCAUCACUCACACAAUUCAAUCAAAUUUCAUGGGUUUAAUAACAACAUUUUCAUCAUUCAGACAAUUCAAUCAAAUUUCAUGGGUUUAACAUCAACAUUUUCAUAAUUCCCACAAUUCAAUCAAAUUUCAUGGGUUUAACAACAACAUUUUCAUUAUUCACACAAUUCAAUCAAAUUUCAUGGGUUUAACAUCAACAUUUCAUCAUUCCCACAAUUCAAUAAAAUUUCAAGGGUUUAACAACAACAUUUUCAUUAUUCACACAAUUCAAUAAAAUUUCAUGGGUUUAACAUCAACAUUUUCAUCAUUCCCACAAUUCGAUCAAAUAUCAUGGGUUUAACAUCAUUAUUUUCAUCAUUCCCACAUUCAAUCAAAUUUCUUGGGUUUAACAUCAACAUUUUCAUCAUUCCCAUAAUUCAAUCAAAUUUCAUGUGUGUAACAUCAUCAUUUUCAUCAUUCCCACAAUUCAAUAAAAUUUCAUGGGUUUAAGAUCAACAUUUUUAUCAUUCCCAUAAUUCAAUCAAAUUUCAUGGGUUUAAUAACAACAUUUUCAUUAUUCACACAAUUCAAUACAAUUUCAUGGGUUUGACAUCAACAUUUCAUCAUUUUCACAAUUCAAUCAAAUUUCAUAGGUUUAACAACAAUGUUUUCAUCAUUGACACAAUUCAAUCAACUUUCAUAGGUUUAACAACAACAUUUUCAUCAUUCACACAAUUCAAUCAAAUUUCAUGGGUUUAACAACAACAUUUUUAUCAUUCACACAAUUCAAUCAAAUUUCAUGGGUUUAACAUCAACAUUUCAUCAUUUCCAUAAUUCAAUCAAAUUUCAUAGGUUUAACAUCAUCAUUUUCCUCAUUCCCACAAUUCAAUCAUAUUUCAUGGGUAUAACAUCAUCAUUUUUAUCAUUCCCACAAUUCAAUCAAAUUUCAUGGGUUUAACAUCAACAUUUCAUCAUUUCCAUAAUUCAAUCAAAUUUCAUAGGUUUAACAACAACAUUUCUAUCAUUCAUAUAAUCCAAUCAAAUUUCCUAGGUUUAACAACAACAUUUUCAUCAUUCCCACAAUUCAAUCAAAUUUCAUGGGUUUAACAACAACAUUUUCAUUAUUCACACAAUUCAAUCAAAUUUAAUGGAUUUAACAUUAACGUUUCAUCAUUUCCACCAUUCAAUCAAAUUUCGUAGGUUUUGCAACAACGUUCUCAUCAUUCACACAAUCCAAUCAAAUUUCAUAGGUUAACAACCACAUUAUCAUCAUGCACACAACUCAAUUAAAUUUCAUGGGUUUAACAUCAACAUUUUUGUCAUUCCCACAAUUAAAUCAAAUUUCAUGGGUUUAACAACAACAUUAUCAUCAUUCACACAAUUCAAUCAAAUAUCAUGGGUUUAACAUCAACAUUUUCAUCAUUCCCACAAUUCGAUCAAAUAUCAUGGGUUUAACAUCAUUAUUUUCAUCAUUGCCACAAUUCAAUCAAAUUUCAUGGGUUUAACAUCAUUAUUUCUAUCAUUCCCACAAUUCAAUCAAAUUUCAUGGGUUUAACAUCAACAUUUUCAUCAUUCCCACAAUUCAAUCAAAUUUCAUGGGUUUAACAUCAACAUUUUCAUCAUUCCCACAAUUCAAUCAAAUUUCAUGGGUUUAACAUCAACAUUUUCAUCAUUCCCACAAUUCAAUCAAAUUUCAUGGGUUUAACAUCAACAUUUUCAUCAUUCCCACAAUUCAAUCAAAUUUCAUGGGUUUAACAUCAACAUUUUCAUCAUUCCCACAAUUCAAUCAAAUUUCAUGGGUUUAACAUCAACAUUUUCAUCAUUCCCACAAUUCAAUCAAAUUUCAUGGGUUUAACAUCAACAUUUUCAUCAUUCCCACAAUUCAAUCAAAUUUCAUGGGUUUAACAUCAACAUUUUCAUCAUUCCCACAAUUCAAUCAAAUUUCAUGGGUUUAACAUCAACAUUUUCAUCAUUCCCACAAUUCAAUCAAAUUUCAUGGGUUUAACAUCAACAUUUUCAUCAUUCCCACAAUUCAAUCAAAUUUCAUGGGUUUAACAUCAACAUUUUCAUCAUUCCCACAAUUCAAUCAAAUUUCAUGGGUUUAACAUCAACAUUUUCAUCAUUCCCACAAUUCAAUCAAAUUUCAUGGGUUUAACAUCAACAUUUUCAUCAUUCCCACAAUUCAAUCAAAUUUCAUGGGUUUAACAUCAACAUUUUCAUCAUUCCCACAAUUCAAUCAAAUUUCAUGGGUUUAACAUCAACAUUUUCAUCAUUCCCACAAUUCAAUCAAAUUUCAUGGGUUUAACAUCAACAUUUUCAUCAUUCCCACAAUUCAAUCAAAUUUCAUGGGUUUAACAUCAACAUUUUCAUCAUUCCCACAAUUCAAUCAAAUUUCAUGGGUUUAACAUCAUCAUUUCUAUAAUUCCCACAAUUCAAUCAAAUUUCAUGGGUUUAACAUCAACAUUUUCAUCAUUCCCACAAUUCAAUCAAAUUUCAUGGGUUUAACAUCAUCAUUUCCAUCAUUCCCACAAUUCAAUCAAAUUUCAUGGGUUUAACAUCAACAUUUUCAUCAUUCCCACAAUUCAAUCAAAUUUCAUGGGUUUAACAUCAUCAUUUCUAUCAUUCCCACAAUUCAAUCAAAUUUCAUGGGUUUAACAUCAUCAUUUUCAUCAUUCCCACAAUUCAAUCAAAUUUCAUGGGUUUAACAUCAACAUUUUCAUCAUUCCCACAAUUCAAUCAAAUUUCAUGGGUUUAACAUCAUCAUUUCUAUCAUUCCCACAAUUCAAUCAAAUUUCAUGGGUUUAACAUCAUCAUUUUCAUCAUUCCCACAAUUCAAUCAAAUUUCAUGGGUUUAACAUCAACAUUUUCAUCAUUCCCACAAUUCAAUCAAAUUUCAUGGGUUUAACAUCAACAUUUUCAUCAUUCCCACAAUUCAAUCAAAUUUCAUGGGUUUAACAUCAACAUUUUCAUCAUUCCCACAAUUCAAUCAAAUUUCAUGGGUUUAACAUCAACAUUUUCAUCAUUCCCACAAUUCAAUCAAAUUUCAUGGGUUUAACAUCAACAUUUUCAUCAUUCCCACAAUUCAAUCAAAUUUCAUGGGUUUAACAUCAUCAUUUCUAUCAUUCCCACAAUUCAAUCAAAUUUCAUGGGUUUAACAUCAUCAUUUUCAUCAUUCCCACAAUUCAAUCAAAUUUCAUGGGUUUAACAUCAACAUUUUCAUCAUUCCCACAAUUCAAUCAAAUUUCAUGGGUUUAACAUCAUCAUUUCUAUAAUUCCCACAAUUCAAUCAAAUUUCAUGGGUUUAACAUCAACAUUUUCAUCAUUCCCACAAUUCAAUCAAAUUUCAUGGGUUUAACAUCAACAUUUUCAUCAUUCCCACAAUUCAAUCAAAUUUCAUGGGUUUAACAUCAUCAUUUCUAUAAUUCCCACAAUUCAAUCAAAUUUCAUGGGUUUAACAUCAACAUUUUCAUCAUUCCCACAAUUCAAUCAAAUUUCAUGGGUUUAACAUCAUCAUUUUCAUCAUUCCCACAAUUCAAUCAAAUUUCAUGGGUUUAACAUCAUCAUUUUUAUCAUUCCCACAAUUCAAUCAAAUUUCAUGGGUUUAACAUCAACAUUUUCAUCAUUCCCACAAUUCAAUCAAAUUUCAUGGGUUUAACAUCAACAUUUUCAUCAUUCCCACAAUUCAAUCAAAUUUCAUGGGUUUAACAACAACAUUUUCAUUAUUCACACAAUUCAAUCAAAUUUCAUGGGUUUAACAUCAACAUUUUCAUCAUUCCCACAAUUCGAUCAAAUAUCAUGGGUUUAACAUCAUUAUUUUCAUCAUUCCCACAUUCAAUCAAAUUUCUUGGGUUUAACAUCAACAUUUUCAUCAUUCCCAUAAUUCAAUCAAAUUUCAUGUGUGUAACAUCAUCAUUUUCAUCAUUCCCACAAUUCAAUAAAAUUUCAUGGGUUUAACAUCAACAUUUUUAUCAUUCCCAUAAUUCAAUCAAAUUUCAUGGGUUUAACAACAACAUUUUCAUUAUUCACACAAUUCAAUCCAAUUUCAUGGGUUUAACAUCAACAUUUCAUCAUUUUCACAAUUCUAUCAAAUUUCAUAGAUUUAACAACAAUGUUGUCAUCAUCCACAUAAUUCAAUCAAAUUUCAUAGGUUUAACAACAACAUUUUCAUCAUUCACAC
rnacentral:lncRNA from 1 species